rnacentral:rRNA from 1 species
CCUACGGGAGGCGGCAGUGGGGAAUAUUGGACAAUGGGGGGAACCCUGAUCCAGCCAUGCCGCGUGUGUGAAGAAGGCCCUCGGGUUGUAAAGCACUUUCAGUGAGGAAGAACGCCUGGUGGUUAAUACCCAUCAGGAAAGACAUCACUCACAGAAGAAGCACCGGCUAACUCCGUGCCAGCAGCCGCGGUAAUACGGAGGGUGCGAGCGUUAAUCGGAAUUACUGGGCGUAAAGCGCGCGUAGGUGGCUUGAUAAGCCGGUUGUGAAAGCCCCGGGCUCAACCUGGGAACGGCAUCCGGAACUGUCAAGCUAGAGUGCAGGAGAGGAAGGUAGAAUUCCCGGUGUAGCGGUGAAAUGCGUAGAGAUCGGGAGGAAUACCAGUGGCGAAGGCGGCCUUCUGGACUGACACUGACACUGAGGUGCGAAAGCGUGGGUAGCAAACAGGAUUAGAUACCCGUGUAGUC